UCCCAGGAAAGCUGGGGGAGGGGAAGGGAGGCAGGGAGGAAGUGUCCUUUCAGCCUCAGCCGGCAACCUCAGCCCUGCGCGCCCCCCCCACCCCCGCCGUGCCAGCUAUAGAGUGAAGAUCCGAAGUCUCUGAGCACCUCAAGAAAGGUUCAAUACCGUGCCCCGGGCGCUUGGGCCAGGCUGACAAGCAGAGUUUUCACGGAAAUCAGCUCAGCAGAGAGCAGGGGGGACACCACUGGAGAGUCCCGGAUGACUCCCGUGAGAUCCUUAGCUUAAUUACACCUGCGAAGACUCUGUUUCCAAACAAGGCCUCAGUCACAGGUUCUGGGGUUUAAGAGACGGUCA